CUUGAGUGAAAAGAGCACAGGGGAUACUGAUUCCCCCUCUGAAGUAAGGAGGCCUAACAUGAGGCCAGCUCCAAAUUGAGGUCAUGGUUAGUUUCAUCCACUGCAGGUUUCCACUUGGAGCUCAAAUGCAGUGCGUUGGAUCGCAGGCUGAUAAAACUGGAACCAUAAGUCUUUUCUAUGCACUAUAUUACAAAAAGAAGUGACACUGGAGAAGGGGAACGGAUGAUUACUAAAACUGUAAUUCAAUCGUCAAGUUCUGAAGAUGUCAUAAAAAAGGCUUCUGCUUUACUUGCACAUGGCAGAUACUCUCAGGAUGCCUCAAAUGAACUCUCUCUGGGAUAAGAAUAAAUUAAGUGGAAGAAUUGAACUUUCAUAGUAUGGCUGCUGAGGGAUCAACACAUAUGGUUGGAAGAUGAAAUUUCCAUUGAUUCCCCAGCGUGAGAGAGUGCAGGCAGCACCAUGUGAGUUUCUGCAUUUUGUCUCUCAGCCAUUGCAGCCCUGACCCAUUCCACGAGGGGUGAAAGGUCACAAGUGCUAUGUGAGUGGUGUUUAAUUUUCACCACAACUGAGACUGCUAAUCACAUAACAUUAGGGUGAAUUAUGGUGAUUAUUGCAGGCUGAACACAGAGAGAUUAAACAAUAACAGCAACACAACCACAGCUGUGAUGGUAGUGAUGAAAAGAUGGUGCUUUCAUGACCCCAUGCUAAAGGGUUUGAUUGGGAUUCUGGAAGCCUCUGGUGAAAGACACUUUGCCCUCUCCAGGCUAGCUUUUUCCUAAACCACCACUAUAUUAAGCAGAGUGACAAUAACCCAUUUUAACAGUUUCUAGUAAUGGAAAGGGCUCAAAACAUUCUCCUUCAGAAUGCCCAAGUCUCAUUAGUCUACAGAGUAAACAUGCAC
ensembl:lncRNA